rnacentral:rRNA from 1 species
UACGAAGGGGGCUAGCGUUGCUCGGAAUCACUGGGCGUAAAGCGCACGUAGGCGGAUCCUUAAGUCGGGGGUGAAAUCCUGGAGCUCAACUCCAGAACUGCCUUCGAUACUGAGGAUCUCGAGUCCGGGAGAGGUGAGUGGAACUGCGAGUGUAGAGGUGAAAUUCGUAGAUAUUCGCAAGAACAUCGGUGGCGAAGGCGGUCUGCUGGGCCGUUGCUGACGCUGAGGCGCGACAGCGUGGGGAGCAAACAGG